rnacentral:rRNA from 1 species
UGGGGAAUCUUCCGCAAUGGACGAAAGUCUGACGGAGCAACGCCGCGUGAGUGAUGACGGCCUUCGGGUUGUAAAGCUCUGUUAAUCGGGACGAAAGGUCCUCUUGCGAAUAGUUAGAGGAAUUGACGGUACCGGAAUAGAAAGCCACGGCUAACUACGUGCCAGCAGCCGCGGUAAUACGUAGGUGGCAAGCGUUGUCCGGAAUUAUUGGGCGUAAAGCGCGCGCAGGCGGAUUAGUCAGUCUGUCUUAAAAGUUCGGGGCUUAACCCCGUGAUGGGAUGGAAACUGCUGAUCUAGAGUAUCGGAGAGGAAAGUGGAAUUCCUAGUGUAGCGGUGAAAUGCGUAGAUAUUAGGAAGAACACCAGUGGCGAAGGCGACUUUCUGGACGAAAACUGACGCUGAGGCGCGAAAGCCAGGGGAGCGAACGGGAUUAGAUACCCCGGUAGUCCUGGCCGUAAACGAUGAGUACUAGGUGUAGGAGGUAUCGACCCCUUCUGUGCCGGAGUUAACGCAAUAAGUACCCCGCCUGGGGAGUACGGCCGCAAGGUUA